GCCCGGAUGGCGGAAUUGGCAUACGCAACAGACUUAAAAUCUGUCGCCCGAAAGGGCUUGUGGGUUCGAGUCCCACUCCGGGUACCA
rnacentral:tRNA from 1 species